GGACAGACAGAAAUUCACUAACAUCAGUCGAGCUCAGGAGACAAUCAAGAUUUGAAGAUGAGCAUCCAAAAACAACAGAUGAAGUUGUUGCUAUUCAUCCUCUCACUGAUGGCAGGUUGUGAGCGGAUGUCAGAAGCAGCACCCUGCGAAGGAGAGUGGGUUAAAUUCAUCUUCAAUCAAAAAACAAAUGGAAGAUUUCAAAUGGAAAAAGUUGUUAAUCUUCCUCAAAAAAACAAAAUAAACCCUGGCAAGUUGAUCGUCAAGGAGCUUAAUAAUGCCGACAGCAACGGAAAACAAUCCAAAGACACAGAAUUUGAAGUUGAUAAAGAUGGGUGCCCCAAACCAUUUAAUCAAACUGCAUACAGAAAUAAUAACACCACCAUCACCUGUGAUUCUCCUGAUGGAAAAUACAAGCCCGCUUUUUUCUGCAAAGAGGAUAACUCCACUUGUCAGAACGUUUUACCAAAAAGCCCUUCUCCGCAGCCAAACUGGAGAAUCAUGUCAACAAACACCAGCAGCAGCAUUUCCAUCAGUCAUGUGUCCUCACAGGAUGCUGGAGUCUACUGGUGUGGAGUGAAAUCAGGUGACAAAGAGUUUUCUCUUCAACAAAUACAUCUAGAGGUUAAAGAUGGCUUAGAGGUUAUCAUCAGUGUUACUGUGUCUGUAGCUGUGCUCCUGCUGUUUCUGAUAGCACUGAUCCUCAUCUACAAACGAAAUGGUGCAGCAGGACGUCAUGUCAAAGAGGACUGUAUCUGUGACGAGAGACAGGAGAACCUCCAGAACCCAGAAAAUGCAGUGAACUCGAUUUCCAUCAGUGCCAAUAAUCCCAUAAACCACACUGCCUCGCCACAUUACGCUGCCAUCAACUUUCAAGUGAGGUCUGAAAAAGCUGGCAGUGUGAUACUCCAACCCAGCUCCUCUGCCUGUGAGUAUUCUGCUGUGAAGUUCAGCAAGUGUCCAGACGACCUGACCGUGACCGAACCACACAGACUGGUGAAGUAGAUCCUCCACUUAUCAGGCAAAAUGAAAAUGAAAAAAAGAUCAGCUCUGUGAGGAACAUGUUUGUUGUAAAAUUGUUAAAAAUUAGCAAGGAAUCAUGUGAUUACUUUUGGGUUUCGGGAUUUAAACCAAGCUAUUUAGAUGAAAGUCUCACAUUUUUGUGACAGUAUUCGUCUGUUCGGGGGUCUUAGACUUCUGCCAGAUUAUCUACCGGUUCACAUCAGCAGUGAAAUGCAUUGUGUCUCAAUGGACCUGAGAUAAUGUGUUAUACCAUGCUGUGGUAUCAUGCACAGAGUUGAACACAGUUCAUUCAGCCCAAUGCAGAGUUUAAACCAGUUCAGAGCACAGUUAGUGGAGGUGAAUUUAAGCUGAUACUAAAAUGGAAAUGAGGCACACGGGGAAAUUUCGUCAAAUUAAAGUCUGCUCUUCAAUCACAUCUUAAUUGUUGUUAUAUUUACAGUUGAAUGUGAUGGUUUACAGAGACAAAAGUACAAAAAACGUGAUGCACAAAUACUUACGAAGCUAACUGUGUCACCACAUGGACAGGUCGAUCCACCGUUCUCUACCAGUCAGAAUAGUGGGCGGUUACUCAGGGAGUGAACUGGUCAGCAGUCCCACAUAACAUGAAAACAAUCAAAAGUGAUGUUGUGAGUUUGACACACAAACCAGCUUUUCAGGAUUGAGAUCAUCAGCAGUUGCACCAGUUUGUUUUUACAGUGCUGUUAAUGAUGUAAAGUUGGGAAAUAAAUACAGACUGUGGGGGAUGUGUCAUUAUUAUCUUUUUGUCAUCAAUUGCAUCAUGUCUCUGUGGAAGUCAGAGUUUCAGGCUGCAUGUGAGAACGGUGUAGACUCAACUGAUUCUCCUCGCAAUAAAAGAAUUUUCUAUGAAAGUACUAAACGUCUAUUUCUGUCACACUGUGCCACACACUUCCUGUUAUUUAUACUUAAACCACUUAUUUCCUCUUUAUCAACAAGAAGCAAUAAGGUUGGUGAGAAAAUAAACUUAAAAGGGAAGGACAGAGAGAGAUGAGGGAACAAAGUUUUAGGUCAGAGAAGAGAAACAAUCAAGAAACAACACUGGACGCCAAACACCCGAGAGACAAAC
ensembl:lncRNA